rnacentral:rRNA from 1 species
UACGUAGGUGGCAAGCGUUAUCCGGAAUUAUUGGGCGUAAAGCGCGCGCAGGUGGUUUCUUAAGUCUGAUGUGAAAGCCCACGGCUCAACCGUGGAGGGUCAUUGGAAACUGGGAGACUUGAGUGCAGAAGAGGAAAGUGGAAUUCCAUGUGUAAGCGGUGAAAUGCGUAGAGAUAUGGAGGAACACCAGUGGCGAAGGCGACUUCUGGUCUGUAACUGACACUGAGGCGCGAAAGCGUGGGGGGCAAACAGG